rnacentral:rRNA from 1 species
AUUGAACGCUGGCGGCAGGCCUAACACAUGCAAGUCGAACGGUAGCACAGAGAGCUUGCUCUCGGGUGACGAGUGGCGGACGGGUGAGUAACGUCUGGGAAACUGCCCGAUGGAGGGGGAUAACUACUGGAAACGGUAGCUAAUACCGCAUAACGUCGCAAGACCAAAGUGGGGGACCUUCGGGCCUCACACCAUCGGAUGUGCCCAGAUGGGAUUAGCUAGUAGGUGGGGUAAUGGCUCACCUAGGCGACGAUCCCUAGCUGGUCUGAGAGGAUGACCAGCCACACUGGAACUGAGACACGGUCCAGACUCCUACGGGAGGCAGCAGUGGGGAAUAUUGCACAAUGGGCGCAAGCCUGAUGCAGCCAUGCCGCGUGUAUGAAGAAGGCCUUCGGGUUGUAAAGUACUUUCAGCGGGGAGGAGGCUCUUUUGGUUAAUACCCAAGAUGAGUGGACGUUACUCGCAGAAUAAGCACCGGCUAACUCUGUGCCAGCCGCCGCGGUAA